AGUGACAGGUGGUGCAUGGUUGUCGUCAGCUCGUGUCGUGAGAUGUUGGGUUAAGUCCCGCAACGAGCGCAACCCUUGAUUUUAGUUGCCAGCAUUUAGUUGGGCACUCUAAAGUGACUGCCGGUGCAAGCCGGAGGAAGGUGGGGAUGACGUCAAAUCAUCAUGCCCCUUAUGACCUGGGCUACACACGUGCUACAAUGGAUGGUACAAAGGGUAGCGAAGCCGCGAGGUGGAGCCAAUCCCAUAAAACCAUUCUCAGUUCGGAUUGUAGGCUGCAACUCGCCUACAUGAAGCCGGAAUCGCUAGUAAUCGUGGAUCAGCAUGCCACGGUGAAUACGUUCCCGGGCCUUGUACACACCGCCCGUCACACCACGAGAGUUUGUAACACCCGAAGUCGGUAGGGUAACCUUUAUGGAGCCAGCCGCCGAAGGUGGGACAGAUAAUUGGGGUGAAGUCGUAACAAGGUAGCCGUAUCGGAAGGUGCGGCUGGAUCACCUCCUUUCUA
rnacentral:rRNA from 1 species